rnacentral:rRNA from 1 species
AUUGAACGCUGGCGGCAGGCUUAACACAUGCAAGUCGAGCGGAGCGAGGGUGCUUGCACCUUAGCUUAGCGGCGGACGGGUGAGUAAUGCUUAGGAAUCUGCCUAUUAGUGGGGGACAACAUUCCGAAAGGGAUGCUAAUACCGCAUCCGCCCUACGGGGGAACGCAGGGGAUCUUCGUACCUUGCGCUAAUAGAUGAGCCUAAGUCGGAUUAGCUAGUUGGUGGGGUAAAGGCCUACCAAGGCGACGAUCUGUAGCGGGUCUGAGAGGAUGAUCCGCCACACUGGGACGGAGACACGGCCCAGACUCCUACGGGAGGCAGCAGUGGGGAAUAUUGGACAAUGGGGGGAACCCUGAUCCAGCCAUGCCGCGUGUGUGAAGAAGGCCUUUUGGUUGUAAAGCACUUUAAGCGAGGAGGAGGCGCUCUAGGUUAAUACCCUAGAUGCGUGGACGUUACUCGCAGAAUAAGCACCGGCUAACCCUGUGCCAGCCGCCGCAGUAAUAC